UACGUAGGGGGCAAGCGUUGUCCGGAUUUAUUGGGCGUAAAGAGCGUGUAGGCGGCUUGCCAAGUCUGCUGUGAAAACUCGAGGCUCAACCUCGAGAUGUCGGCGGAAACUGUCUGGCUAGAGUCCGGAAGAGGAGAGUGGAAUUCCUGGUGUAGCGGUGAAAUGCGCAGAUAUCAGGAAGAACACCUAUGGCGAAGGCAGCUCUCUGGGACGGUACUGACGCUGAGACGCGAAAGCGUGGGGAGCGAACAGG
rnacentral:rRNA from 1 species